rnacentral:lncRNA from 13 species
AUGAAGUUUGAUUUAGAAGAUAGGAGAAUGGAAAUCGACAAGGAGGUGAGGAUACGACAACUGGAGCUAGACGCUGGCUCCAGUGCGACUCCACAACCUGCUCCUCAUCAAGCCCUCUUCAAUAGUUGGAUUCUUCGCGGGAACAGGAGUCUGAUGUCAGUGCUACUGGCCCUCAGCCCAGCUACAGAAGUCUUCGGACCCUGGCCAGUGCAGUAUGUCGACGUGCCUAUGAUCAGACAGCAGCAACGCACCAAGAGUCAAGGUCAGGAUCUGGUCACACGUAUCCCCGGUGUGUCUCCACUGAAUAGCUAUGCCAUGAAGAACCUGGAGGCUGUGGAAACAGUUGACCUGUCCUUUCAAACUUCAGUGACGGAACUAAUCAGUUGGGAAGAGGAGCAGAAAACAGACCAAAAAACAGAAGUAGAGUUUAUAAGAGUUACCCCCUUAUUUACAUCAUACCAGCCUUAGAGCAGGUGUCCAACAUAAUGCACAUAAUCUCCAGAUCUGUUAUCUUUUUUAAUAGUCACUCGGGUCAUUUAAUCAUUGCCAUUAAAGUAUGUUUUACUGCUCAAAGUUUUGUAAACAGUCUGCUGUGCUGCAGUAUUUCUAGAUCGAUGUGGUCAUGUCUGCCCCACUCAGGGAUGCCUGAGUGUAGGUAUUCUCAGAAAAUGUAAUCAAAGACAUUCUUGACAUUCAGCUUGCAUUCCCUUGACUCCCCCUACUGAAUUAUAAUUUAGGGAGUGGAUAUCGGACAAAGAAAUCUGAAGUGCUGUUACACAACAUAUAGGCUCUGGUCUCUAGGGUCACUCUGGCUGACAGCCAUGACUGAAAACACAUUUUAUGUACAUGUUGUAGUAUACUACAAAGCAGGAUCAAUGAGUUAGCCAGCUAACUUUGAUAACCAGAAAUAACUAUAGAUUUAUUUUGGUUCAUUAAGAAACCUAAACGAUCUGUUUCUGAGUCAAUUCGACCAUCCCAUUUCUAAAAAAUAACGUUAUUACAGAAUAUUUAGGCAAGUUAGCUGGCUAAAUCAUUGAUCUUGCUUUGUAAUAUACCCCUCAGGUUACCACAGUGGAAUGAGCCACACCAUGUGAGUAGGUAGCGUUGUAUGAUAAAGAAUGGUUCAGAGACAAUUAAAUCCCUGUGUUUCUGAGUGGUUGUGGGCUGCAGAGCCUGGUCAGUGGCCUGGGUUACCAGCUACAGAUGAACUAUGUGUCGGUGGUGUCCAGUGUGAAGAGUGCCCCUCAAACCAACUUUGGCCUGGCUAAGAGACCGUGGGCAGCGCCUGGGAGCACAUGGUGAACAGAAUCUCGCUUUACG